rnacentral:rRNA from 1 species
GACAGCAGCAGCCACGGUAAUACAGAGGGUGCGAGCGUUAAUCGGAUUUACUGGGCGUAAAGCGUGCGUAGGCGGCUUCUUAAGUCGGAUGUGAAAUCCCUGAGCUUAACUUAGGAAUUGCAUUCGAUACUGGGAAGCUAGAGUAUGGGAGAGGAUGGUAGAAUUCCAGGUGUAGCGGUGAAAUGCGUAGAGAUCUGGAGGAAUACCGAUGGCGAAGGCAGCCAUCUGGCCUAAUACUGACGCUGAGGUACGAAAGCAUGGGGAGCAAACAGGAUUAGAUACCCCCGUAGUCCCUGUCUCUUAUAC